UAGAACUAGCAUCCAAAGGCGUGCCUCUA
rnacentral:sRNA from 1 species